rnacentral:rRNA from 1 species
CCUACGGGAGGCAGCAGUGAGGAAUAUUGGUCAAUGGACGCAAGUCUGAACCAGCCAUGCCGCGUGCAGGAAGACGGCUCUAUGAGUUGUAAACUGCUUUUGUACGAGGGUAAACGCAGAUACGCGUAUCUGUCUGAAAGUAUCGUACGAAUAAGGAUCGGCUAACUCCGUGCCAGCAGCCGCGGUAAUACGGAGGAUUCAAGCGUUAUCCGGAUUUAUUGGGUUUAAAGGGUGCGGAGGCGGGUGGUUAAGUUAGAGGGGAAAUUCCGAGGCUUAAACUUGGAAUUGCCCCUGAUACUGUUCGGCUAGAGAGUAGUUGCGGUAGGCGGAAUGUAUGGUGUAGCGGUGAAAUGCAUAGAGAUCAUACAGAACACCGAUUGCGAAGGCAGCUUACCAAACUACGACUGACGUUGAGGCACGAAAGCGUGGGGAGCAAACAGGAUUAGAUACCCCAGUAGUC